rnacentral:rRNA from 1 species
AUUGAACGCUGGCGGCAUGCCUUACACAUGCAAGUCGAACGGCAGCACGGGGGCAACCCUGGUGGCGAGUGGCGAACGGGUGAGUAAUACAUCGGAAUGUACCCAGUAGUGGGGGAUAACUAGUCGAAAGAUUAGCUAAUACCGCAUACGCACUAUGGUGGAAAGCGGGGGAUCGCAAGACCUCGCGCUAUUGGAGCAGCCGAUGUCCGAUUAGGUAGUUGGUGGGGUAAAGGCCUACCAAGCCUGCGAUCGGUAACUGGUCUGAGAGGACGACCAGUCACACUGGGACUGAGACACGGCCCAGACUCCUACGGGAGGCAGCAGUGGGGAAUUUUGGACAAUGGGGGAAACCCUGAUCCAGCAAUGCCGCGUGUGUGACGAAGGCCUUCGGGUUGUAAGCACUUUGUCGGGACGAACGGACGCUUCUAAUACAGAGUGCUAAUGACGGUACCCGCAGAAUAAGCACCGGCUAACUACGUGCCAGCAGCCGCGGUAAGU